AAGUCGUAACAAGGUUUCCGUAGGUGAACCUGCGGAAGGAUCAUUAACACGUAUCCACGUUUUAACUAAAACUUAUCAACAAAUCCACGAACUUGUAUCUCCCUGCUGAAUCUAACUGCGGCGUCGUAAUCCUGUCUUGAUGGGUCCUAGUAAACAUGUAGUCUUCGAGACUUGUGUUAGGCUACAGGCUGGCAGGCAUCGACUAAUCACACUUCGACUGUGAGCCAAAACAAUUUCAGUCAGGCUUACUUACUCUACUCUCGCGUGUAGUUACUACAAUCCUUACCAUCAUAAGGCCGAGUUUAGAACCCCAUACCAAUUUCACCCUUCUUUACCCAUUUCACUAAUUACUAUAUUCUUAGGAGAAAUCCUUUGAAUUACUAAGAUUUAUCUUAACUAAGCACAACUCUUAGCAAUGGAUAUCUUGGUUCUC
rnacentral:misc_RNA from 1 species